rnacentral:rRNA from 1 species
CAGUAGCCGCGGGAAUACAGAGGAUGCAAGCGUUAUCUGGAAUGAUCGGGCGUAAAGCGUCUGUAGGUGGCUUUUCAAGUCCGCCGUCAAAUCUCAGGGCUCAACCCUGGACAGGCGGUGGAAACUACCAAGCUGGAGUACGGUAGGGGCAGAGGGAACUUCCGGUGGAGCGGUGAAAUGCGUUGAGAUCGAAAAGAACACCAACGGUGAAAACACCCUGCUGGGCCGACACUGACACUGAAGACGAAAGCUAAGGGAGAAAAUGGGAUUAGAUACCCCAGUAGUCCCUGUCUCUUAUACA